GAUGAACGCUAGCUACAGGCUUAACACGUGCAAGUCGAGGGGUUUCGAAGAGCUUGCUCCGAGAAACGACCGGCGCACGGGUGAGUAACGCGUAUCCAACCUGCCCUUCAUAUUGGGAUAGCCUUCCGAAAGGGAGAUUAAUACCGAAUAACAUGAGAAGAUUGCAUGAACCUCUCAUGAAAGCUCCGGCGAUGAAGGAUGAGCAUGCGUAUCAUUAGCUAGUUGGUAGAGUAACGGCCUACCAAGGCAACGAUGAUUAGGGGUUCUGAGAGGAAGAUCCCCCACACUGGUACUGAGACACGGACCAGACUCCUACGGGAGGCAGCAGUGAGGAAUAUUGGUCAAUGGACGGAAGUCUGAACCAGCCAAGUCGCGUGAAGGAUGACGGCCCUUAGGGUUGUAAACUUCUUUUAUUUGAGAGUAAAAGAUCUUACGUGUAAGAUUUUGCAAGUAUCAAAAGAAUAAGCAUCGGCUAAUUCCGUGCCAGCAGCCGCCGUAACAC
rnacentral:rRNA from 1 species